rnacentral:rRNA from 1 species
GAUGAACGCUGGCGGCGUGCCUAAUACAUGCAAGUCGAGCGAACAGACGAGGAGCUUGCUCCUCUGACGUUAGCGGCGGACGGGUGAGUAACACGUGGAUAACCUACCUAUAAGACUGGGAUAACUUCGGGAAACCGGAGCUAAUACCGGAUAAUAUAUUGAACCGCAUGGUUCAAUAGUGAAAGACGGUUUUGCUGUCACUUAUAGAUGGAUCCGCGCCGCAUUAGCUAGUUGGUAAGGUAACGGCUUACCAAGGCAACGAUGCGUAGCCGACCUGAGAGGGUGAUCGGCCACCCUGGAACUGAGGCACGGUCCAGACUCCUACGGGAGGCAGCAGUAGGGAAUCUUCCGCAAUGGGCGAAAGCCUGACGGUGCAACGCCGCGUGAGUGAUGAAGGUCUUCGGAUCGUAAAACUCUGUUAUUAGGGAAGAACAAAUGUGUAAGUAACUAUGCACGUCUUGACGGUACCUAAUCAGAAAGCCACGGCUAACUACGUG